AUAUUCCGAUGAACGAGUGAGGUUCGAUGGUUAGGGUUACGAGUCUAUACUCGACAUGCUCGCCUGUGGCACAUGAAGACGAAGGACUCCAUGCUGAUAUGUUUCGUUGUAAACUCUGAUAUAAUGCUAGCUUCGGGCUAUGCAAUUUGUAAUGUUUACUUUGUAAUUACUGGAUCAUGCGAUGUAAUAAAGAUCUUUGUUUCUUGGUAUUACAUCUUAAACUGUGUGUGCUAGCGAUUGAUCCAGGGACUAGCACUAUUAUGCACAGAGAUUCAACCCGUACCGGGUCGGAUCGCUACAUCGCCGGCCGGAAUCUAGCCGCCGUCGACCACAAUCUUGCCACCGCUGCCCGGAAUCCAGCCGCUGCCGCCCGAAAUCGGGCCACCUUGGCCUGGAUUCGCCCUUCUCCAUCGUCUAGAGCCGCCUCCGCCGUCGCCCGUCGCGAGCAACAAGGUAAUUUUGAUCCGGUCCUGCUUUCUCCUGUCUUACUUCCUAUCCUCCUACCUAGCUGUGCUGCCGCUGCGUGCUUUUCUACAGUUGCUUGCUUUGCUGCCGCCUGGCAUCGUCUGCCUUUUCCUGAUACGCUGUCCAGGGAGUGAGACGCAAACAACAUCAUUGUUGUUGAUAAUAUAGAGGCUGAGGCUGGUGGUAUCAAUGCAAAAUAUCCAUGGGCUCAUGCUUCAAAAAUAGCAUCACACGCAACAGCAUCACACGCAACAGGCGAAGGAGGCAACUUCUUUGUUGUUUCCAGAUUUUGCACGGUUAUGCCUUGCUCUCUCUCUUAUGUACUAAAUUCUUGUGUAUUGCUGAUAACCUUUCUUACAAAUUAAUGAACAAAGCCUCCUUCCUUGUGACAAGCUCUGGAAACCAGCAACAAUGAUACUGCAUUUUUUUAAUAAGUUCAUAUUGUGUAGUAAAAUCCGGAGUAAGUGUCUGUUUGUUGCAGUCCCUGACCAUAUAUGGCACAAACACAUGUUUACAACGACCUGAACAUUGACUACCUGAAGAUGUUCCAGCCGUUGCUAUAGGACUGUGAGUCCAUCCACAUUUUCUUUUUUGUUACUACUUGAAGAUAGUUUGCUGCUUUGCCACUGAUAUUGGUCACGGCACAGUUGGUAACAUAGGCCAUCAUCAAGGACGUUUUAAUCGUGAUGGUAUUUUAGUUUUAUUUACCUCAUGUAUCAGAAUUUAAUGUAUAUCUUCAGGUCGAGGGUAAACUGAUGAGCUUUCUUAUCAUCUAGGGUCCGUGUCCAAAUUGCAAGUACUGAAAACAUUCCCUUUUUCGGGACGAUACUGUCUAUCGCUAGCAGCAGUGCAACAAACACUGUCAAGGGAGCCAAGUGUGUCCCUUUAAUUACCAUGGUUGACAUAUUUGCAACUGUACCUGAUUGGCAUGGAUGAAAUUGCCGAGUGUAGAAAAUGUAGAUGUAUAUGAGUGUUGCAGCAUACAGAAGCAGAUGUGCUCCUUCCCUACAGCAAAUGCAUUGCUUCUCACUCCUCUCUCUCACACACGGCUAUCAAUGGUGAUUUGAUCCUCUCGAAAGGGGGACAUGAAGACAGUAUUCGGAGGACAAGUGGAUGCAGCCAAACAUCAGGGGAAUCCAAGUCCGAGCAUAACCUCACCAGUUUCCUGCCCAACACCGGCAACAAGCUCAUCAUCGUCGACUUCUGUUGUCCCUUACGGCGUCGCGGACAGGCUGUCCACCCCAAGAAAAUAAUAUUUGUGAGCUGAGAUGUGAUAUCAAAGCAUUCACGAUACUGCAUUUUGGCUGAACUAUGUUGUUUAACUAUCUGCAGUGUUAGAUUCAGUUUAACUAUUUUUACCCUGUUAGAAGCUCAGUAUUGUGACUGGCAACGGGACCAACUUUAUGUUCCUAAACCAGUUGAUUUUUUUAUUAGACAUAGUCUUUCAAGCUAAGGUGUCAUGUUAUAGUCGUUCAAUUGGCUCAGUAGCUCGGUAUUGUAACUAUCAAUCUGGCGAACUUUGUUUAUAUACCAGUGAUUUUUUU